rnacentral:rRNA from 1 species
GACGAACGCUGGCGGCGUGCCUAAUACAUGCAAGUAGAACGCUGAAGAGAGGAGCUUGCUCUUCUUGGAUGAGUUGCGAACGGGUGAGUAACGCGUAGGUAACCUGCCUUGUAGCGGGGGAUAACUAUUGGAAACGAUAGCUAAUACCGCAUAACAAUGGAUGACACAUGUCAUUUAUUUGAAAGGGGCAAUUGCUCCACUACAAGAUGGACCUGCGUUGUAUUAGCUAGUAGGUGAGGUAACGGCUCACCUAGGCGACGAUACAUAGCCGACCUGAGAGGGUGAUCGGCCACACUGGGACUGAGACACGGCCCAGACUCCUACGGGAGGCAGCAGUAGGGAAUCUUCGGCAAUGGGGGCAACCCUGACCGAGCAACGCCGCGUGAGUGAAGAAGGUUUUCGGAUCGUAAAGCUCUGUUGUAAGUCAAGAACGAGUGUGAGAGUGGAAAGUUCACACUGUGACGGUAGCUUACCAGAAAGGGACGGCUAACUACGUGCCAGCAGCCGCGGUAAUACGUAGGUCCCGAGCGUUGUCCGGAUUUAUUGGGCGUAAAGCGAGCGCAGGCGGUUUGAUAAGUCUGAAGUUAAAGGCUGUGGCUCAACCAUAGUUCGCUUUGGAAACUGUCAAACUUGAGUGCAGAAGGGGAGAGUGGAAUUCCAUGUGUAGCGGUGAAAUGCGUAGAUAUAUGGAGGAACACCGGUGGCGAAAGCGGCUCUCUGGUCUGUAACUGACGCUGAGGCUCGAAAGCGUGGGGAGCGAACAGGAUUAGAUACCCUGGUAGUCCACGCCGUAAACGAUGAGUGCUAGGUGUUGGAUCCUUUCCGGGAUUCAGUGCCGCAGCUAACGCAUUAAGCACUCCGCCUGGGGAGUACGACCGCAAGGUUGAAACUCAAAGGAAUUGACGGGGGCCCGCACAAGCGGUGGAGCAUGUGGUUUAAUUCGAAGCAACGCGAAGAACCUUACCAGGUCUUGACAUCCCGAUGCUAUUUCUAGAGAUAGAAAGUUACUUCGGUACAUCGGUGACAGGUGGUGCAUGGUUGUCGUCAGCUCGUGUCGUGAGAUGUUGGGUUAAGUCCCGCAACGAGCGCAACCCCUAUUGUUAGUUGCCAUCAUUCAGUUGGGCACUCUAGCGAGACUGCCGGUAAUAAACCGGAGAAAGGUGGGGAUGACGUCAAAUCAUCAUGCCCCUUAUGACCUGGGCUACACACGUGCUACAAUGGUUGGUACAACGAGUUGCGAGUCGGUGACGGCAAGCUAAUCUCUUAAAGCCAAUCUCAGUUCGGAUUGUAGGCUGCAACUCGCCUACAUGAAGUCGGAAUCGCUAGUAAUCGCGGAUCAGCACGCCGCGGUGAAUACGUUCCCGGGCCU